rnacentral:rRNA from 1 species
CCUACGGGAGGCAGCAGUGAGGAAUAUUGGUCAAUGGGCGCGAGCCUGAACCAGCCAAGUCGCGUGAGGGAGGACGGCCCUACGGGUUGUAAACCUCUUUUGCCGGGGAGCAACGGGCGCCACGUGUGGCGUCACUGAGAGUACCCGGAGAAAAAGCAUCGGCUAACUCCGUGCCAGCAGCCGCGGUAAUACGGAGGAUGCGAGCGUUAUCCGGAUUUAAUGGGUUUAAAGGGUGCGUAGGGGGAAUGUUAAGUCAGUUGGUAAAGUUUGGGGCUCAACCGUAAAAUUGCAGUUGAAACUGGCAGUCUUGAGUACGGGAGAGGUGGGCGGAAUGCGUGGUGUAGCGGUGAAAUGCUUAGAUAUCACGAAGAACUCCGAUUGCGAAGGCAGUUCACUGGACUGCAACUGACACUGAGGCACGAAAGUGUGGGUAUCAAACAGGAUUAGAUACCCUGGUAGUC